GGAGAAAUGGCAGAGUGGUUUAAUGCGUCUGAUUUGAAAUCAGAAGAAUAAAAAAUUCCAUGGGUUCGAAUCCCAUUUUCUCUU
rnacentral:tRNA from 1 species